rnacentral:rRNA from 1 species
AGAGUUUGAUCCUGGCUCAGAUUGAACGCUGGCGGCACGCUUAACACAUGCAAGUCGAACGGCAGCAGCAUCAAGUUUACUUGAUGGCUGGCGAGUGGCGGACGGGUGAGUAAUGCGUAGGGAUCUGCCCUAGAGAGGGGGAUAACCCGGGGAAACUCGGGCUAAAACCGCAUAAACUCUGAGGAGCAAAGGUUGGCUUAGGCUGAUGCUCUAGGAGGAACCUACGUUGGAUUAGCUAGUUGGUGGGGUAAGAGCCUACCAAGGCGAUGAUCCAUAGCUGGUCUGAGAGGAUGAACAGCCACACUGGGACUGAGACACGGCCCAGACUCCUACGGGAGGCAGCAGUGGGGAAUAUUGGACAAUGGGGGCAACCCUGAUCCAGCGAUGCCGCGUGUGUGAAGAAGGCCUGCGGGUUGUAAAGCACUUUAGCUAGGGAGGAGUAGCGGGCGUUUAAUAGGCGUUCGUGAAGACGUUACCUAGAGAAUAAGCACCGGCAAACUCUGUGCCAGCAGCCGCGGUAAUACAGAGGGUGCAAGCGUUAAUCGGACUUACUGGGCGUAAAGGGCACGUAGGCGGUGAUACAAGUCAGAUGUGAAAGGCCUGGGCUUAACCUGGGAAUGGCAUUUGAAACUGUAUGACUAGAGUCGAAUAGAGGUGAGUGGAAUUUCCGGUGUAGCGGUGAAAUGCGUAGAUAUCGGAAGGAACACCAGUGGCGAAGGCGGCUCACUGGGUUCAGACUGACGCUGAGUGCGAAAGCGUGGGUAGCGAACAGGAUUAGAUACCCUGGUAGUCCACGCUGUAAACGAUGAGUACUAGCUGUUGAUUGACGAAGCUGAUCAGUAGCGGAGCUAACGUAUUAAGUACUCCGCCUGGGGACUACGGCCGCAGGCUAAAACUCAAAGGAAUUGACGGGGCCGCACAAGCGGUGGAGCAUGUGGUUUAAUUCGAUGCAACGCGAAAACCUUACUACCCUUGACAUCCUACGAAUCCGAACGAGUUGUUGGAGUGCCUUCAUGAAUGUAAAGACAGUGCUGCAUGCUGUCGUCAGCCUCUGUCUUGGGAUGUUGGGUUAGUUCCGUAACGAGCGCAACCCUUGUGACAUAUUGCCACACGUAUUAUUGGGACUCUA